rnacentral:rRNA from 1 species
CGAUGAUCCGGUGCUUGCACCGGGGAUUAGUGGCGAACGGGUGAGUAACACGUGAGUAACCUGCCCUUGACUCUGGGAUAAGCCUGGGAAACUGGGUCUAAUACCGGAUAUGACUCCUCAUCGCAUGGUGGGGGGUGGAAAGCUUUUGUGGUUUUGGAUGGACUCGCGGCCUAUCAGCUUGUUGGUGAGGUAAUGGCUCACCAAGGCGACGACGGGUAGCCGGCCUGAGAGGGUGACCGGCCACACUGGGACUGAGACACGGCCCAGACUCCUACGGGAGGCAGCAGUGGGGAAUAUUGCACAAUGGGCGCAAGCCUGAUGCAGCGACGCCGCGUGAGGGAUGACGGCCUUCGGGUUGUAAACCUCUUUCAGUAGGGAAGAAGCGAAAGUGACGGUACCUGCAGAAGAAGCGCCGGCUAACUACGUGCCAGCAGCCGCGGUAAUACGUAGGGCGCAAGCGUUAUCCGGAAUUAUUGGGCGUAAAGAGCUCGUAGGCGGUUUGUCGCGUCUGCCGUGAAAGUCCGGGGCUCAACUCCGGAUCUGCGGUGGGUACGGGCAGGCUAGAGUGAUGUAGGGGAGACUGGAAUUCCUGGUGUAGCGGUGAAAUGCGCAGAUAUCAGGAGGAACACCGAUGGCGAAG